GGAUGUUAGCGGCGGACGGGUGAGUAACACGUGGGUAACCUGCCUGUAAGACUGGGAUAACUCCGGGAAACCGGAGCUAAUACCGGAUAGUUCCUUGAACCGCAUGGUUCAAGGAUGAAAGACGGUUUCGGCUGUCACUUACAGAUGGACCCGCGGCGCAUUAGCUAGUUGGUGAGGUAACGGCUCACCAAGGCGACGAUGCGUAGCCGACCUGAGAGGGUGAUCGGCCACACUGGGACUGAGACACGGCCCAGACUCCUACGGGAGGCAGCAGUAGGGAAUCUUCCGCAAUGGACGAAAGUCUGACGGAGCAACGCCGCGUGAGUGAUGAAGGUUUUCGGAUCGUAAAGCUCUGUUGUUAGGGAAGAACAAGUGCAAGAGUAACUGCUUGCACCUUGACGGUACCUAACCAGAAAGCCACGGCUAACUACGUGCCAGCAGCCGCGGUAAUACGUAGGUGGCAAGCGUUGUCCGGAAUUAUUGGGCGUAAAGGGCUCGCAGGCGGUUUCUUAAGUCUGAUGUGAAAGCCCCCGGCUCAACCGGGGAGGGUCAUUGGAAACUGGGAAACUUGAGUGCAGAAGAGGAGAGUGGAAUUCCACGUGUAGCGGUGAAAUGCGUAGAGAUGUGGAGGAACACCAGUGGCGAAGGCGACUCUCUGGUCUGUAACUGACGCUGAGGAGCGAAAGCGUGGGGAGCGAACAGGAUUAGAUACCCUGGUAGUCCACGCCGUAAACGAUGAGUGCUAAGUGUUAGGGGUUUCCGCCCUUAGUGCUGCAGCUAACGCAUUAAGCACUCCGCCUGGG
rnacentral:rRNA from 1 species